rnacentral:rRNA from 1 species
GACGAACGCUGGCGGCGUGCUUAACACAUGCAAGUCGAACGGUAAGGCCCUUCGGGGUACACGAGUGGCGAACGGGUGAGUAACACGUGGGUGAUCUGCCCUGCACUUCGGGAUAAGCCUGGGAAACUGGGUCUAAUACCGGAUAGGACUCCUGCCUGCAUGGGUGGGGGUGGAAAGCUUUUGCGGUGUGGGAUGGGCCCGCGGCCUAUCAGCUUGUUGGUGGGGUGAUGGCCUACCAAGGCGACGACGAGUAGCCGGCCUGAGAGGGUGACCGGCCACGCUGGGACUGAGAUACGGCCCAGACUCCUACGGGAGGCAGCAGUGGGGAAUAUUGCACAAUGGGCGCAAGCCUGAUGCAGCGACGCCGCGUGAGGGAUGACGGCCUUCGGGUUGUAAACCUCUUUCAGCACAGACGAAGCGCAAGUGACGGUAUGUGCAGAAGAAGGACCGGCCAACUACGUGCCAGCCGCCGCCGUAA